rnacentral:ncRNA from 2 species
UUAUCAUCAAGAGCGGUGGAGGGACAGGCCCUACGAAGCCCGGCAACCAGCAGACUAGCUGCAUGGUGCCAAUUCCUGCAGAAUCCAGUGAUUCUGAGAGAUGAACA